rnacentral:misc_RNA from 1 species
GAAGCCGGUUGAAGCAAGGCCCGCCGACGUGAAGGCCUCCGAGUUCAGGAUCUCCGAAGCGAAAGCUGUCGAUGCGAUGUCCGAAACUCGCCUGGCUGAACCGAAGCGCGUGGACACGAAAUCACCCGAAGCGAAGCCAACCGAGGCCAAGCCCUCGGAAACCGAAGCCUCCGAACCGCGAUCGACGGAGACGGUUGCGUCUCUGGAACGAUCGACGGAAGCAACGGCCUCCGCGACGAUCCCCCGUCCG